GGAUGAACGCUAGCUAUAGGCUUAACACAUGCAAGUCGAGGGGAAACGGCAUUAUGUGCUUGCACAUUUUGGACGUCGACCGGCGCACGGGUGAGUAUCGCGUAUCCAACCUUCCCUCCACUCGGGGAUACCCCGUUGAAAGACGGCCUAAUACCCGAUGUUGUCCACAUAUGGCAUCUGACGUGGACCAAAGAUUCAUCGGUGGAGGAUGGGGAUGCGUCUGAUUAGCUUGUUGGUGCGGGUAACGGCCCACCAAGGCGACGAUCAGUAGGGGUUCUGAGAGGAAGGUCCCCCACAUUGGAACUGAGACACGGUCCAAACUCCUACGGGAGGCAGCAGUGAGGAAUAUUGGUCAAUGGACGUAAGUCUGAACCAGCCAAGUAGCGUGCAGGAUUGACGGCCCUAUGGGUUGUAAACUGCUUUUGUUGGGGAGUAAAGUGAGGCACGUGUGCCUUUUUGCAUUUACCCUUCGAAUAAGGACCGGCUAAUUCCGUGCCAGCAGCCGCGGUAAUACGGAAGGUCCAGGCGUUAUCCGGAUUUAUUGGGUUUAAAGGGAGUGUAGGCGGUCUGUUAAGCGUGUUGUGAAAUUUAGGUGCUCAACAUCUACCUUGCAGCGCGAACUGGCGGACUUGAGUGCACGCAACGUAUGCGGAAUUCAUGGUGUAGCGGUGAAAUGCUUAGAUAUCAUGACGAACUCCGAUUGCGAAGGCAGCGUACGGGAGUGUUACUGACGCUUAAGCUCGAAGGUGCGGGUAUCGAACAGGAUUAGAUACCCUGGUAGUCCGCACGGUAAACGAUGGAUGCCCGCUGUUAGCGCCUG
rnacentral:rRNA from 1 species